CAGAACACAGAGAAGCAGCUUAACACCUAGGUUAAGACACAACGUUGAAAAAUAAUUUUCCUGAUGCCUGAUUCCACAAAUGCAGCCUGAACUGAAGUCCCACAACACAUUGUCUGGGCUCCUGUACAGAUGAUAAUCAAGAAUGCUGCAGAAGCAUGCUAGCUUCCAGAAUGAUUCAUGUGAUAGGAUGACUUGUGAGUUCCUGAGUGUCCUGACAGUGGUGACAAGAAAGCUGUGUUGAGCGCACAGAGAAAGAAAAAUCAGGGAGAGCAGCCACUUGCAAACAAGACGAAGAAACUUCCUAUCUCCACCAUGGGCUACAGCAAGGAGAGCCGCCCUGGUGUCAACUUGGGGACAACUAAAAAUGAUGACUCAUGAGAGUUUUUCCGAGGUGGGACAUUCUGGAACUUCAUCUAAAAAAUAUUAAAAAAAAAAAAAAGUCAGAACUGCUACAUCCAUUCCAGAA
rnacentral:lncRNA from 1 species